ensembl:misc_RNA Metazoa_SRP Metazoan signal recognition particle RNA
GCCGGGCAUGUUGGCAGGCGCCUGUAAUCCCAGCUACCCAGGAGGCUGAGGCAGGAGAAUUGCUUGAACCCAGGAGGUGGAGGUUGCAGUGAGCUGAGAUCGUGCCACUGUACUCUAGCCUGGGUGACAGAGCAAGACUCUGUCUCCA